rnacentral:rRNA from 1 species
UACCAGCUCUCCGAGUGGUAGGGAUGUUUAUUGGGCUUAAAGCGUCCGUAGCCGGCUUAGCAAGUCUCCUGUUAAAUUCAGCGACCUAAUCGUUGAGCCGCGGGAGAUACUACUAGGCUAGGAGGCGGGAGAGGUCAACGGUACUUCCGGGGUAGGGGUGAAAUCCUAUAAUCCCGGGAGGACCACCAGUGGCGAAGGCUGUUGACUAGAACGCGCUCGACGGUGAGGGACGAAAGCUGGGGGAGCGAACCGGAUUAGAUACCCGGGUAGUCCCAGCUGUAAACGAUGCGAGCUAGGUGUGGGGUGGCUACGUGCCACUUCAGUGCCGCAGGGAAGCCAUUAAGCUCGCCGCCUGGGGAGUACGGCCGCAAGGCUGAAGCUUAAAGGAUUGGCGGGGAGCACCACAAGGCGUGAAGCUUGCGGUUC